rnacentral:rRNA from 1 species
UUGAAUUGAAGAGUUUGAUCAUGGCUCAGAUUGAACGCUGGCGGCAGGCUUAACACAUGCAAGUCGAGCGGUAACGGGGAGUAGCUUGCUACUUUGCUGACGAGCGGCGGACGGGUGAGUAAUGCUUGGGGAUCUGGCUUAUGGAGGGGGAUAACCAUGGGAAACUGUGGCUAAUACCGCGUAGAAUCGGGAGAUGAAAGGGUGGGACCUUAGGGCCACCUGCCAUGAGAU